rnacentral:rRNA from 1 species
GUAGGUGGCAAGCGUUGUCCGGAUUUAUUGGGUUUAAAGGGUGCGUAGGCGGCUUUGUAAGUCAGUGGUGAAAUAUGGCAGCUCAACUGUCAGGGUGCCAUUGAUACUGCAGAGCUUGAGUACAGAUGAGGUAGGCGGAAUUGACGGUGUAGCGGUGAAAUGCUUAGAUAUCGUCAAGGACACCGAUAGCGAAGGCAGCUUACUGGGCUGUAACUGACGCUGAGGCACGAAAGUGUGGGGAUCAAACAGGAUUAGAUACCCUGGUAGUCCACACUGUAAACGUUGAUGACUCGCUGUUGGCGAUACACGGCCAGCGGCAGAGAGAAAUCGUUAAGUCAUCCACCUGGGGAGUACGCCGGCAACGGUG